GACAGAGGCCUCAAGCGUUAGGCGGAAUCACUGGGCGUAAAAGCGCGCGUAGGCGGCCCCGGUAAGUCCGCUCUGAAAGUCCAGGGCUCAACCCUGGAAAGCGGGUGGAUACUGCCGGGCUAGAAUCCGGAAGAGGCGAGUGGAAUUCCUGGUGUAGCGGUGGAAUGCGCAGAUAUCAGGAGGAACACCAAUAGCGAAGGCAGCUCGCUGGGACGGUAUUGACGCUAAGGCGCGAAAAGCGUGGGGAGCAAACAGG
rnacentral:rRNA from 1 species